rnacentral:rRNA from 1 species
GCUAAGGAGCUGGUAUCAGGCACUACUUAUGCCCAUAACACCUAGUCCCACCACACCCUCRAGGGUAAUCAGCAGUGAUAAACUUUGUUAAUAAGCGACAGCUUGACUCAGUUAAAGAGAAGAGAGCCGGCCAACCCGGUGCCAGCCGCCGCGGCUAGACCCAUGGGCUCAAAUUGAUAACAGUCGGCGUUAAUCGUGAUUAAAGUACCCUAAAAUUAGAGUGAAACCUACCGUCUUGCCGUGAAAAUCAACACUCUAGGGAAAACCAGAAACGAAAGUUACUCUAAUCCAUACUUGAACACACGACAACUAGGACACAAACUGG